CUACCCUGCCCUGACCCAAGGCAGUCGCCUAAGCCACCAGAAAAAGGGAAAAAAAAAAAAAAAAAAAAAAAAAAAAAUUCGGGCAAUUCAUUUCAGCCUCCCUAAUCGCCUCCAUCUCUAUUAUCGUUCUCAACUUUGAACUUGCCCUCUCUCUGUCUCUGCAACUGCAAACUACAAAAUCUAUAAGAAUCAGAAUUUCAAAAUCCAUAUACUUCAGUUUAUCUAUCUGUCUGUAAGAAUCAAAAUUUCAAAACCUAUUACCUAUAUCAAAACCCAUAACGGCAUAUCAUUUCAGAUUGUUCAAAUAACCAAAACCCAUAUCCUUUAGUUUCCAUCUUCUGCUGUUCCAGUUCGGUUCACCGUUCGCAAGCUUCAGCUGCUGGCCCGCUGUCUCUCAACUCUCGAGCUUGCCCCCCUCUCUCUCUGCAACUGCUAACUUGAUUUGAAAGACUAAUUGUUAAAUUUGGGUUGAACUUGAGUCUUGAACAAGCUGAAGGCCCUUAUCGUGGAUUAUAAUUUUUAUAAUUACAGCAUCCUACGGUCCUACCAUCUUUUAGAUUGCUUCCAUCACUUCAGAUUGACUUUUGUGCGUUGAGCAACUUGGAGGAGCUUGAUUUUAGUGUUGGUGUGAAGGGGCUGAUUACAGUAAAAUGUAUUAUAGUGUCAUAUUCAUUGCAUUGCAUUUUGAGUGUGAAGAUGGAAGGAAGUGAAAGCGAGGCGAUUUUCAAUUCUCUGAACCUAAACCCCCAGCUUUUCAUCAAUGAGGUCCUUAAUUUAGUUGAUGACUUGGUCGAUGGGGCUUUCGACUUCUAUCAUCAAGAGGCAUCGACACUAUUGAAAGUCGAGGGCACAGAUAGAUCCGAGGAUUUAAGCAAGGGUGUGAAUUUCAUUCAAAACAUGAUUCAGUCUGUUCUGGAUAAGCGAUUGGAGAUGUGGGAGAAGUAUUUUCUUCAACAUUGCUUUAGCGUUCCACAAGGAUUUUCCCUACCCAAAACCAAUGAAUCACCUGGUGGCAGCUCAACAGAUCGUACUGUUCUCAGUGACCCAGAGCCGGAUGUGCAGUUAGAUUCCUUGAGAGAUAAACUUGAUUUGGUUGGAAAGGAGACUGCUGAGCUGACCAGAGAGCUCCAAUCGUUGGAAAGACAGUCUGCUAUAAGCAAUCAAUAUGCUGGGCCUGUUAAUGAAGCACUACAGUUAUGUGAGCGACAGUCUGUUCAUGACAUGUUCCAAGAGUUGACAAGAACUGCAUCAGAGCUUCGUACGAAAAUGGACAAGUUGAAGACCAAAAGAUUGGAGGAGACUCAAUGCCUUAGAACAGAGAGGAUGCACGUACGAAACGGCGAUUUGUUUAGGAAGAAUCGUGGCAAAGGCCUCUACAAUGCAAUGUCGGAAGAACUUCAAGAAUUCGUAGCCAAUAUAAAGAAUGUGUGAACCUUAACUAUUGUUCAUCAGCCUUUCUGUACAGAAGUUCUGUGUUGUGUUUUGUGGCCAAGUUGAACCAACAAGCUACUUGAGACUUGAAUGAAGGAUUUUUGUGAAUGGAAAUGGAGAUGUUGGCAUCAGCCCAUUGCCUUUGACAAAAUUAGCGUGGUUCGGAUCAAGCCUCUCGAAGCAUGUCAGUCUUUAAACACAGGUGAGACUUGUGCCUUUGCAGAAUUUGUGUGGAGUUUUUCUAAUCGACUCAUUCGAUUCAUAAUUUCAAAUGCAGCUGAGAUUUUAGUGGGGGAGUAGAACAACACAUAAUGGGACAGUAUGGGGUACUAGAAAGUUGAAACCCUUGUUGUGCUUUUAAUAUGCUUCGCAGAGCGCAGAGAUAAUAGGAAUGUAUGUUAAACACCUUUGCUAGAUCGUUGUGAUAGGAUCUCGUAUAUUUUAGAACCACCAGUGGUUUCCAUCUAUAAAGCAUAGACAGUUCUCCUAAUAGUGUCAUUGCGUUGUCGGACACGAUCUAGACACAUGUAAGGCAUGGUUAGAAGAAGUGUCAUGAAAUUUGAAUUUUGAUUUUCUAAUCUCUGGUUGGACAUGUCUGGGACACUUUUAGAACACUUUCAAGAAAUAGCCCUUUGUGAAAGAACUCCUAGCCUUCUUCCAAGGAUUUGUCUGAAGCACUAAUGCUGGUAUAGGUGCCCUGAAUAAUUCAAAAGCCUAAUCUACUGAUCACUAAUCGAAAUCAAAAUUGAAAUAAAAAUUUCAAUGUACUCACGGGUGUUACAGUUGCAUCCUGUGAUGGUAAUGAAUACGCGAGUGUACAUACAGGUAAAUUCGUAAGCAUGUAUUAAUUUUGUAAUUAUUUUUCUUAGAAUACUGAGAUUCCAAUGCAAUUUUAAAAUAUAUUACAAAUUAAUAAUAUAAAAUUUUUGAAAAAAACAGAGAAACAUCUAGAUCUAAAUUUAAAAUUAAUGAUUUCAUUCAUGAUUAGUGAAUAAAAUGAACAAAAGUUAUUUAUUACUAUUUUUGAUGUAUUAUUAUUAUAUUCGCGUUUUAUUUUUGUGAGAUUUUCUGUAUCGUGUCAUACCAUUAGAAAUGGAAACGGGGCGGGUUUGGGAUAGGUUUGACUAAAUCUUAUUCCGCUCCGUUGAAAAAUUAUCCAUACCAUCCAUGCUCUUAUUUCGAGACAAAUUUUUUAACCGUUAUACCAUUUGUCCUGGUGGGGUAGACAAACUACCGACUCCACCCAGCACACUUUGUUUAAUGGCGGGGUAGAUUAUACCGAGAGUAAAAGAAUAGAGAGUUUUGAAUUUCAAAAAGUCAGUUAAUGAUAUAAAAAUAAAAAUAAAUAAAUAAAUAAAAUUAUGAAUUUUAAAUAAUAAGCGAGGCCCAAAUUUGUCGUCUAUCCAUUUGCAUCCUAAAAAAUAGAAACCUAUGACUAGAAAAAAGAAAAAGAUAAAAAAAGAAAAAAAAAAAACUAUAUGUAUAUGUUAUGAUACAUAGAGCUGCAACUAUGACAAUAAAAUGAGAUAUAAAGAGGGGAAAGAGACCGGAGUAGAGAUAUAAACACGGGGGAGAGAUAUGAGUAAAUAUAGGGUGAGUCAUGCAUAUCAUGUCAUUAGUAUACUUGAUUAAUAAAAAUUUAACAAAUCAGUUUAUGAAUAGCAGCUUUGAACACUUUUUGUUAAGUAAAUACUAAUGACAUGGCAUAUACGGCGCACCCAAUAUCUUAUCAAAAGAAAGAGUAUCAAACUACAGUGGGGAGUGAGGAUGAGUUGGAUGACUUUGCGAGAUCUCUAUUCUUUGUCGGCCUCGAUCACCAGUGAAGAAUCGAAUGACAUCGCAAGCUCACACUUUCAGAUCUGGAGUAAAGGGACGUCACAGCUUCAGUUUCAGUUUUUCAAACCACAAAUCAUAUUCCCUCUAAAUAAUUGCAUCUUCUAUACUUGAAAGAUUAUAGAUAUGUCUCAACUAGUCAAGAGUGAACCUAAUAAAUCAUUAAUAUAUAAUUUCCAAUCCAAAUUUUAAGUGAGUUUUGAUUUUAAAAAGUGUCAACGAUUAUAAGCAAGGCCCUAAUUUGUCAUCUAUGCAUUUGCAUCCUAAAAAAUAGAAACCUAUGACUAGAAAAUAAAAUAAAAGAUAAAAAAAGAAAAAACUAUAUGUAUAUGUAAUGAUACAUAGAGCUACAACAAUGACAACAAAAUGAGAUAUGGAGAGGGGAAAGAGUCAGGAGUAGAGAUAUAGACAUAGGGGAGUGCAUCCCAUGUCAUUAGUAUGCUUAAUUAAUAUAAAUUUAACAAAUCAAUUUAUGAAUAGCAUCAUUGAACACUUUUUGUUAUGUAGGGAGACCCAUUUCAUUAUAUGAUGAAUUUUCAUUAGUCGGACGUACUAAUGACAUGACAUGUCCGGCUCACCUCAUAUCUCAUUAGGAGAAAGAGAGAGUAUCAAACUACAGUGGGAAGUGAGGAUGAGUCGGACGAUUUCGCGAGAUCUCUAUUUUCUGUCGGCCCCGAUCACCAGUGAAGAGUCGAAUGACAUCGCAAGCUGACACUUUUAGAUAGGGAUGUCACAACUUUAGUUUCUGAUCACAAAUCAUAUUCCCUCUAAAUAAUUGCAACUUGUAUACUAGAAAGAUUAUAGAAAUGUCUAAGUCUCAACUAGUCAAGAGUGAACCUAAUAAAUUAUUAAUAUAUAAUUUCCAAUCCAAAUUUGAAGUGAGUUUUGAUUUUAAUUACUGUAAUUGCUCCUAUUUCAUUUAAAGGCCUACCAAAUUCGUUCUACCAAGAACCCGUACGUACCAUGUCCAUAAGUAUCAUUUUUAGGUUGCGAUCCUUUCAUGUCCAUAGUAAGUGGUUUCACUCUCUCUUUAAGAAGACCAUGAAAAAGCCUGUUUUCAGCUAUCACCUCAUUUAAUCCCCAUCAACAGUCUGCACACACCUGGCUGACCCUACAUGCAUUAGUGCCACGUGUCAAUCUUAGUACCAAAUUCAAUAUGAGCCUAAAAGUACUUGAAACUAGAAAAAUUAAAGUUGUCUAUAGAUCACAGAAUUUAAAAUUAUUUAAAUCUUUGGAUAAAAAGCCUAAUUCCUUUUAAGGCCAUGCAAACAUCUUCAACAAAAAUUGAAAAAAAAAAAAAUUCUUUAGUCUUUCCAUGUUGCACUUCAAAAG